rnacentral:rRNA from 1 species
AUGUUUUGCCUUGCCUUUGAUGACACUGAGCCCCGGUUUGGGUUUCAGUUGGGUAAGGGGAGAAGACCGGUGGCUGACGAGGUUCGAUCUACUGCUCCAGCUGGCAUACUUGUCGAAAGAGUGCAUCCGAGAACGCGGGGAGAGCGCGUCCUUGCGUCGAAAGUAGUACGCCGUUGUGCCGACGAAAGCAACAGUGGUGAGAACCACACAUACCAGGAGUGUUGCGAUGACUGUUUUACUAGAGAAAUGCUUCCUCCCUUGUUCAGAACUUCCUGGAGAGUUGAAGCAGGCAGUAUUCAGACAGUCACCAGUAACCACAGCACACAUUCCAUCUUAACAUUCAGUAUCCAAAGUGUAUAUGAUGGAAUCAGUAGAGGAGAAUUUCAUAUACCAGAUGUGCAGUUACAGGAAGUGAAGCAGCUCCCGCUGUGCACCACAGCAUGUUCUUCUUCCUGA